rnacentral:rRNA from 1 species
UACGUAGGGUGCAAGCGUUGUCCGGAAUUAUUGGGCGUAAAGAGCUCGUAGGCGGUUUGUUGCGUCGGCUGUGAAAUCCCGAGGCUCAACCUCGGGUCUGCAGUCGAUACGAGCAAACUAGAGUGUUGCAGGGGAGACUGGAAUUCCUGGUGUAGCGGUGAAAUGCGCAGAUAUCAGGAGGAACACCGGUGGCGAAGGCGGUUCUCUGGGCCGGUACUGACGCUGAGGAGCGAAAGCGUGGGGAGCAAACAGG